rnacentral:lncRNA from 1 species
AAUCAAAUCAUAAAUCAAAGCAUUUAUUCGCGUUCAUGACGCAUAUCGAACACAAACAGUAGCAUACAUAAUCAUGAAAAAAAAAAAAAAAAAACACAAAAAUAAAAUAAAAACAUCAAUAAAAAGAAAACACAAGAAUAAUAAGAAUAUGCGUCACAAGCACGCGAAAUGGCCCUCGCUCAGCAUUAUGCAGCGACCCUAUGCGAGACAGAGUCGCUGCGCUGGUUUUCAGCGAUGGCCAGCACUAACAUGUGACGUCAAUCGGUGCAUUUAAGCUAAACUAAAUAUAUAAAAUAUAAAAAGUGUUAUAUAUAUUUAUGGAUAUAAAAUACUACUAUAAAAACAAACUAAAUAUAAAUAGAGAAAAAUAACUACCUAGUUACGCAGCAUUCCGAACGAAUGCGACUGGAAGUGACACUCGCGCUUCGCAAAAUUAUAUUUUAUCUGUGGUCUAUGCCGCCGACCAUUACACAAACACAAAUAGUCAAUAUACAAACAAUUUGUGUGAGAAUUAGGUAAUGGCGACGGAGGCAUACCAAGAAUUAUUAUGCAAUGCCUCAUGUAGAUAUCAUGUAGACGAGUGUAUAAAUGUGUAUAGUGUUGAGAAAAGAAAAAUCGAACAUGAAUUUGUGUAAAGGGUGUAUUAAAUGUGAGUAUGUAGGUCGAUCGUAUUCCUGCUACCAGGAUGGCGUCGGUAAGUGAUAUUAUUAUUUUAUUUUUUAUACCUGUGAACGUCACUACUGGAAUUAUAAAUAUAUAUAGAUAUUAAUUAUUUGAUAAGUUGAAGUCGGACUGAGACAUACCUAAUUACUAACUUAGAAAUUGACUUACCAUUGAGCAUUGCACAUAGAUGAAUUAAAUAUAAAUUGUAAUUAGAAAAUUAAAGGAUUGAAUUAAAUUACAGACGACAAUAUGGGACAAAUGACAGAGAGAUGAAGAAGAAGGGUUGACCGAAGCAGAUGCUCCACCGUGCCGAGGAGGAUGAUUCAAAAGCAGCCCACACUGCAGGAAGUGAUCCCCAAACCAGAGCAUGUGUGCCAUGACCCCUGAGGCAUCGAAGUGGGGGAGGGAGAUCAUUCCAGCAGCGCGUGGCUGCAAACUUGAAGCAUCCUCUGAAUGCCGUAGUGCGAUGCAUGGGAACGGUCAGCGGACACACUAUGGAGCGAAGACCAUGCUUUAUCUGGCUUUGUUUCCAGGUC